AUGGUUCUACAGUGAAAGACGGUCUUGCUGUCACUUAUAGAUGGACCCGCGCCGUAUUAGCUAGUUGGUGGGGUAACGGCCUACCAAGGCGACGAUACGUAGCCGACCUGAGAGGGUGAUCGGCCACACUGGAACUGAGACACGGUCCAGACUCCUACGGGAGGCAGCAGUAGGGAAUCUUCCGCAAUGGGCGAAAGCCUGACGGAGCAACGCCGCGUGAGUGAUGAAGGUCUUCGGAUCGUAAAGCUCUGUUGUUAGGGAAGAACAAAUGUGUAAGUAACUGUGCACAUCUUGACGGUACCUAACCAGAAAGCCACGGCUAACUACGUGCCAGCAGCCGCGGUAAUACGUAGGUGGCAAGCGUUAUCCGGAAUUAUUGGGCGUAAAGCGCGCGUAGGCGGUUUUUUAAGUCUGAUGUGAAAGCCCACGGCUCAACCGUGGAGGGUCAUUGGAAACUGGAAAACUUGAGUGCAGAAGAGGAAAGUGGAAUUCCAUGUGUAGCGGUGAAAUGCGCAGAGAUAUGGAGGAACACCAGUGGCGAAGGCGGCUUUCUGGUCUGCAACUGACGCUGAUGUGCGAAAGCGUGGGGAUCAAACAGGAUUAGAUACCCUGGUAGUCCACGCCGUAAACGA
rnacentral:rRNA from 1 species